UACGUAGGGUGCAAGCGUUGUCCGGAAUUAUUGGGCGUAAAGAGCUCGUAGGCGGUCUGUCGCGUCGGCUGUGAAAACCCGGAGCUCAACUCCGGGCCUGCAGUCGAUACGGGCAAACUGGAGUGUUGCAGGGGAGACUGGAAUUCCUGGUGUAGCGGUGAAAUGCGCAGAUAUCAGGAGGAACACCGGUGGCGAAGGCGGGUCUCUGGACCGCAACUGACGCUGAGACACGAAAGCGUGGGUAGCAAACAGG
rnacentral:rRNA from 1 species